rnacentral:misc_RNA from 1 species
ACAAACUUGGUCAUUUAGAGGAAGUAAAAGUCGUAACAAGGUUUCCGUAGGUGAACCUGCGGAAGGAUCAUUACAGCGUACUUGGUCUUCGGACCGACUACCCGUCCUAUUGUCAUGAGAGCGUGCGGAAGGGGCUUCGGCCCCUGACGUGCGAGCAUCACUUCCCAGGAAGCGUUGGGGGUUUCACGCGGCGGCCGAUGUGAAUCGGUGGCGGCGGAGAUGUUCGACCGCCUGGGGCACUUUUUUUGCAAAACUCUUGCGAGAAUUAUGAAGUCUGAAGAAAUUGAAAAAUAAAGCAAAACUUUCAACAACGGAUCUCUUGGCUCUGGCAUCGAUGAAGAACGCAGC